rnacentral:rRNA from 1 species
AGCGAACGCUGGCGGCAGGCUUAACACAUGCAAGUCGAGCGGGCGUAGCAAUACGUCAGCGGCAGACGGGUGAGUAACACGUGGGAACGUACCCUUCGGUUCGGAAUAACCCAGGGAAACUUGGGCUAAUACCGGAUACGUCCGUAAGGAGAAAGAUUUAUCGCCGAAGGAUCGGCCCGCGUCCGAUUAGCUAGUUGGUGGGGUAAUGGCCCACCAAGGCGACGAUCGGUAGCUGGUCUGAGAGGAUGAUCCGCCUCACUGGGACUGAGACACGGCCCAGACUCCUACGGGAGGCAGCAGUGGGGAAUAUUGGACAAUGGGCGCAAGCCUGAUCCAGCCAUGCCGCGUGGGUGAUGAAGGCCCUAGGGUUGUAAAGCCCUUUCGGCGGGGAAGAUAAUGACGGUACCCGCAGAAGAAGCCCCGGCUAACUUCGUGCCAGCCGCCGCAGUAACAC